CUCAACUGAGAACGACCGUCAGUUUAUUUCUUCGGCCAUUUUAAGCAACGGUUCGGUCACAGAACUCCAUCUGGCUCGAGAAAAGACGAGAAUAUGGUCCUCGCCUGGCACCUCGUUCUGGUCGUUGCUAUGUUGAUGCCAGUGGACAUGGGAUCCUCCCAAAAACCUUAUUAUCCUGAUUAUCCUGAUUAUCCUGAUUAUCCUGAAUUUCCUGAUGUCCCCGAAAAACCUGAUGGAUGUCUUCGUGCGACCGCAAAGUGCCAGCGGCACGAGGAAUGCUGCAGCAAGCUUUGCUACUACCACUUCAUGCACCCGGAAGUGCUGAUUUGCUUCUAAUGACUUCAGGCUUACGAAUAAAACUUGUUCUCCUCUACAUCGAAUAAACGUGUUCGUAUCAACAA